GGCACCGUGGCUUAGUUGGUCAAAGUGCCUGUCUAGUAAACAGGAGAUCCUGGGUUGAGAUCCUGGGUUCAAAUCCCAGCGGUGCCU